AUGUACCCCUCACACUCCGGUUCCCCCGCGCCGGCCGCACCCACCUGACAACAACUGCUCGCUACGUUUGUUAGCU
rnacentral:sRNA from 1 species